rnacentral:misc_RNA from 1 species
UACGGAGGGUGCGAGCGUUGUUCGGAAUUAUUGGGCGUAAAGCGCACGUAGGCGGCUCGGUAAGUCUCACUGUGAAAGCCCGGGGCUCAACCCCGGGAGGCCAGGGGAUACUGUCGAGCUGGAGACAGGCAGAGGCUGGUAGAAUUUCGGGUGUAGCGGUGGAAUGCGUAGAGAUCCGAAGGAAUACCGGAGGCGAAGGCGGCCAGCUGGGCCUGAUCUGACGCUGAGGUGCGAAAGCGUGGGGAGCGAACAGG